AACUAGUUGAGAGCUGUUACAGCUUCCCUGAUGAGCCCAUGACAGGGCGAAACCAGUG
rnacentral:hammerhead_ribozyme from 17 species